rnacentral:lncRNA from 1 species
CAUUUUAUGUUUGCUUUAAACUUUUUUUCAAGGAAAAAAUAGAAAAGUAUAUCCAUUGGCCCUGUGUGCUUCUUAUACGUUAUUGUCAGAUCUUCAUCUGCUAGGUGCCUGGAUUUUUAGUGUAGAGAUUACCUGUCAUUCUUUGUUUGCCUAUAGCCAGUGAACUUCAGGAAUAAUUUUUUCUUGUCUUGAAACAAGAAUGAAGCUAUAUAGAUAAUGGUCACCAUUAUUUAGACAUCAAAGAUUAAUAUGAAAAUAUUUUCUGAUAAACUUAGAACCAUUUUUGUUUUAUAUCAGGUUUUCUAGAUAAAUAUUUCAACUUUAAUUAGACUUUUCAAAUGUCCAUUAUUUUGUGAUUUUAAAAAGCAGUGUUACGUAAAAACUAUUAAUGGAAGAGUCAGAGAAGUCGUUAUAUGAAAGUAAAAACUUUGAGGUAACUUGCUAAUAUUUUUGUAUAUUUUAUUGCAAUAUUCUUGCAUUUUUAAAGUUGGGGUUCUUUUACAAAUUUUGUAUCCUACUAUUUUAGCAUUAAUACAUGUACAUUUCUUCAUUUUUCUAAAAUGAUGCAUAAGUGUAUUUCUUAACGGCUAAUAUCCCAUUGAUAGAAAGUAAUUUAACCAUUCCUCUAUUGGACAUUUAGAUUGUUCCCUAAUUAUGUGUGUCUAUUAUAUAUUUAAACUGGAGAGACAUGUAUUUGCACCAAAGGUAGGUUAUAUGAUCUACUUACGCAAUGUGCAAGUGGAAAAUGGAUGGCAGAAGGAUUGUUCUUCCUUCCUUGUUUGUUUGUACCAGAACUCUUCAUUGUUUACAUACAUUUUAGCCUUGGUGCCAUUUUCAGAAGCUUUAUUUGUCUCACUUACUUUUUUGGUUUGGAUAAGACUUAAAUAUAAAAUCCAUCUGUGAAGCAUAUUGUAUAUUCACAUUGAAGGCUAAAAACCCUUUUUUAAUUA